rnacentral:rRNA from 1 species
UACGUAGGUGGCAAGCGUUGUCCGGAAUUACUGGGUGUAAAGCGCGUGUAGGCGGGAGGCCAAGUCGAGUGUGAAAGCCCCCGGCUCAACUGGGGAGGGUCACUCGAUACUGAUCGACUCGAAGGCAGGAGAGGGAAGUGGAAUUCCCGGUGUAGUGGUGAAAUGCGUAGAUAUCGGGAGGAACACCAGUGGCGAAGGCGACUUCCUGGCCUGUUCUUGACGCUGAGGCGCGAAAGCUAGGGGAGCAAACGGG